UACGUACUCCCUCCGUUCGGAAUUACUUGUCUCGGAAAUGGAUGUAUAUAGAACUAAAAUACAUCUAGAUACAUCCAUUUCUACGACAAGUAAUUCUGAACGGAGGGAGUACGUG
rnacentral:pre_miRNA from 1 species